rnacentral:tRNA from 26 species
GGGGUUAUAGCUCAGCUGGGAGAGCGCCUGCCUUGCACGCAGGAGGUCAGCGGUUCGAUCCCGCUUAACUCCACCA